AUGCGAUUAGAUGGACUUUGGUCUCCUCUCUUAUCAGGAGCCCCUGUCCCUGGAAGAACUAGCAGGAAACCCUGGGAUUGUUCAGAAAAUGGGAAGCAGUCAUAUUCUGCUGAGAUGCUGUUGGGAGCAAAGAUGAAGUUGGAUGGUAGAGGGGAGGCAGGCAGGGACUGAACAGACAGAUUAAGACUUUGGCUGCACAGAUGACAAUUAAGGAAGUGAAAAGAGAGAGAGAAGAAAUCUUCAAGGAGAAGAAAAAUCAGUGAUUGGAGGUCUGUAGGAAAACCUUGGUGACAAAGACAUCAAGACAAGGAUGGCCCCAGAACUCUCUCUCAGCUCUAUGGAGACUCGCGAAGGCUCACUCUGAGGUUAGCUGGGAAUCUGGGCGUCCCAGAACGCUGCUGUCUUAUCCAUCACUACUGAGCCAGGGGCAGGCUUUGCUGCAGAAAUGAGGCAUUUGACAGCUCAGCCUCUGAACUUUGGGAUCCUGGAGUCUUAUGAGAGACUUCAGAGUACUUUUGCUUCUCUCAGCAUCAUGCCCUCCCUGUUGCCUUGUGCUCAGCAACACUUGGGCUCACUCACUGUUGGCAAGGAGUAUGUUGGGUUCAAAUACUGAUUGAGCGAUUAGCUAGCUAUGUGACCAUAGGCAAUUGUUGGAGUCUCAGUUUCUUUGCCUAUCAAAUGGAGACAGUAACACCUGCCUUGCAGAAUUCUUAUGAGGACUAGAGACAAUCUAUAAAAGACACAGGGUCUGACACAUAAUGGGUGCUCAGUAAAGGGCAGCUGAUUAUGUACAUGAAGGUAUCUGAAUCAUUUAUGUUUAAUUAUCAUUGCAACAAUAAUAGACAUAAAUGUCCUAUUAAUUUCGUUCUAAGUUUUAGUGAACUAUGAUCAGUGGUGUGUUGAUAAAUAUAUACCACCCAUUACAAUUAAAUUACAACCAGAUUAGGGGAGGGUAGAGGGAGCCUGAUCUGUAGCAUUUGCUAGCUUCCGUGGUGUUGAUAUUCCUCCUAUGGCCACUUUCAAACUA
rnacentral:lncRNA from 1 species